rnacentral:snoRNA from 1 species
CUACCACAAGUGGGUUUUGAGGGGAAGAUUUUUAGUAGUCUUGGUCAUCUCUAGCCCCGUGGGGGAUAAAAACCUCACUCCACAGUUAGCUGUGUGAUUUAUAUGUGGCUCAUUAUUAUUUUGUGGCCUGGAAG